GCUUCCAUAGCGCAAAGGAAAACUGGAAGGAUGCCAAGAUGAUUAGCAUGGCCCCCACACCAGGAUGACAUGAAUUUGUGAAGCAUUUCAUAUUUUU
rnacentral:snRNA from 1 species